rnacentral:rRNA from 1 species
AUUGAACGCUGGCGGCAGGCCUAACACAUGCAAGUCGAGCGGAUGAAGGGAGCUUGCUCCUGGAUUCAGCGGCGGACGGGUGAGUAAUGCCUAGGAAUCUGCCUGGUAGUGGGGGAUAACGUCCGGAAACGGGCGCUAAUACCGCAUACGUCCUGAGGGAGAAAGUGGGGGAUCUUCGGACCUCACGCUAUCAGAUGAGCCUAGGUCGGAUUAGCUAGUUGGUGGGGUAAAGGCCUACCAAGGCGACGAUCCGUAACUGGUCUGAGAGGAUGAUCAGUCACACUGGAACUGGGACACGGUCCAGACUCCUACGGGAGGCAGCAGUGGGGAAUAUUGGGCAAUGGGCGAAAGCCUGAUCCAGCCAUGCCGCGUGUGUGAAGAAGGUCUUCGGAUUGUAAAGCACUUUAAGUUGGGAGGAAGGGCAGUAAGUUAAUACCUUGCUGUUUUGACGUUACCAACAGAAUAAGCACCGGCUAACUUCGUG